rnacentral:rRNA from 1 species
UACGAAGGGGGCUAGCGUUGCUCGGAAUCACUGGGCGUAAAGCGCACGUAGGCGGAUUGCUAAGUCAGGGGUGAAAUCCUGGAGCUCAACUCCAGAACUGCCUUUGAUACUGGCGAUCUUGAGUCCGGGAGAGGUGAGUGGAACUGCGAGUGUAGAGGUGAAAUUCGUAGAUAUUCGGAAGAACACCAGUGGCGAAGGCGACUCGCUGGACAAGUAUUGACGCUGAGGUGCGAAAGCGUGGGGAGCAAACAGG